GGGUUGUGAGGUUAAGCGACUAAGCGUACACGGUGGAUGCCCUGGCAGUCAGAGGCGAUGAAGGACGUGCUAAUCUGCGAUAAGCGUCGGUAAGGUGAUAUGAACCGUUAUAACCGGCGAUUUCCGAAUGGGGAAACCCAGUGUGUUUCGACACACUAUCAUUAACUGAAUCCAUAGGUUAAUGAGGCGAACCGGGGGAACUGAAACAUCUAAGUACCCCGAGGAAAAGAAAUCAACCGAGAUUCCCCCAGUAGCGGCGAGCGAACGGGGAGCAGCCCAGAGCCUGAAUCAGUAUGUGUGUUAGUGGAAGCGUCUGGAAAGGCGCGCGAUACAGGGUGACAGCCCCGUACACAAAAAUGCACAUGCUGUGAGCUCGAUGAGUAGGGCGGGACACGUGGUAUCCUGUCUGAAUAUGGGGGGACCAUCCUCCAAGGCUAAAUACUCCUGACUGACCGAUAGUGAACCAGUACCGUGAGGGAAAGGCGAAAAGAACCCCGGCGAGGGGAGUGAAAAAGAACCUGAAACCGUGUACGUACAAGCAGUGGGAGCACGCUUAGGCGUGUGACUGCGUACCUUUUGUAUAAUGGGUCAGCGACUUAUAUUCUGUAGCAAGGUUAACCGAAUAGGGGAGCCGAAGGGAAACCGAGUCUUAACUGGGCGUUAAGUUGCAGGGUAUAGACCCGAAACCCGGUGAUCUAGCCAUGGGCAGGUUGAAGGUUGGGUAACACUAACUGGAGGACCGAACCGACUAAUGUUGAAAAAUUAGCGGAUGACUUGUGGCUGGGGGUGAAAGGCCAAUCAAACCGGGAGAUAGCUGGUUCUCCCCGAAAGCUAUUUAGGUAGCGCCUCGUGAAUUCAUCUCCGGGGGUAGAGCACUGUUUCGGCAAGGGGGUCAUCCCGACUUACCAACCCGAUGCAAACUGCGAAUACCGGAGAAUGUUAUCACGGGAGACACACGGCGGGUGCUAACGUCCGUCGUGAAGAGGGAAACAACCCAGACCGCCAGCUAAGGUCCCAAAGUCAUGGUUAAGUGGGAAACGAUGUGGGAAGGCCCAGACAGCCAGGAUGUUGGCUUAGAAGCAGCCAUCAUUUAAAGAAAGCGUAAUAGCUCACUGGUCGAGUCGGCCUGCGCGGAAGAUGUAACGGGGCUAAAC
rnacentral:rRNA from 1 species